rnacentral:rRNA from 1 species
UACGGGGGGGGCAAGCGUUGUUCGGAAUUACUGGGCGUAAAGGGCUCGUAGGCGGCCAACUAAGUCAGACGUGAAAUCCCUCGGCUUAACCGGGGAACUGCGUCUGAUACUGGAUGGCUUGAAUCCGGGAGAGGGAUGUGGAAUUCCAGGUGUAGCGGUGAAAUGCGUAGAUAUCUGGAGGAACACCGGUGGCGAAGGCGGCAUCCUGGACCAACACUGACGCUGAGUGAGCGAAAGCCAGGGGAGCAAACGGG